GAUCCUGGCUCAGGAUGAACGCUAGCUACAGGCUUAACACAUGCAAGUCGAGGGGCAUCAGGAUGUAGCAAUACAUUGCUGGCGACCGGCGCACGGGUGAGUAACACGUAUCCAACCUGCCUUUUACUCGGGGAUAGGCCUUUCGAAAGAAAGAUUAAUACCCGAUGGUAUAAUAUUUCCGCAUGGGAUUAUUAUUAAAGAAUUUCGGUAAAAGAUGGGGAUGCGUUCCAUUAGGCAGUUGGCGGGGUAACGG
rnacentral:rRNA from 1 species